rnacentral:antisense_RNA from 1 species
GUGUAUAAUUGUUGACGGUUUCCUAAGCCGUCUUU